rnacentral:rRNA from 1 species
UACGUAGGGGGCAAGCGUUGUCCGGAAUCAUUGGGCGUAAAGCGCGUGUAGGCGGUCCGGUAAGUCCGCUGUGAAAGUCGGGGGCUCAACCCCUCGGAUGCCGGUGGAUACUGUCGGGCUUGAGUGACGGAAGAGGCGAGUGGAAUUCCUGGUGUAGCGGUGAAAUGCGCAGAUAUCAGGAGGAACACCAAUUGCGAAGGCAGCUCGCUGGGACGUUGCUGACGCUGAGACGCGAAAGCGUGGGGAGCAAACAGG